AACAAUUCUGAUAGUUUGCAUUUAUGUCAGAAGCACCAAGAAACUUCCAGGGUGAAAGAAUUAGCUGGUGACAUCACCGUUGCCUGCAGGAUGCCUUGUUGGGGACUCCGUUCAUGUUUGGAGAUGUUGAAGCGAAGGAUGGAAGUUCAACCCCACCCCACAGAAGAACUCGGUUCUCCAACACGGGCUUGCCAACCUCCAUCCCAGCAUCCUAACUACCAUGCUCCUCUUCUGAUAGUUAACAUGGAACUAUUUGAACUUCCAGAUGAAUGAGUGGAGACUAAAGGACAAGGUGCUUGGACCACAAGGGCAGUAAAGAGACCAACAGAAUUCCCCAUGCCAUCAUUCCCUCAAAAUGUCUGAAGAAGGAACAGUUGUUUUAAAGGUUAUAGGAACACAGGCACCGGCUAGCCUGAAAGAAUUGGCCUUUUAUGUGAGGAAAUCAGAACAUAAGCAUUUAUUGAUAUCCAGGAUGAUUAUUUACAGCACAAGUACUUGGCCUUGGAAGUCUCCCUCUGAUUUCUGUAGGAACAGAAAAAUACCCACUGAAUACUUUUGAUCCUAAAUUAUAUAUAUAUAUAUAAGACAGAAUCCAUUUCCAUCAUUUACUUUCCCUUCAGGAACCUGCCCUUUUCCUUUCUCCCACCAAUACAGGAGCCCUGGUAGCACAGCAGACUAAAGCACUG